CUGACAAAUAUGACAAAUCGCUUAAGCGUAACAUACUGCAAUUCUCACUUUUAAGCCUUUUUCCAAACGACAGUCUAAUCGAAGAAAAAUACGUACUAAAUUUACCUCCUGCUGAACGAGAAACUGAUCUUUGAAUAAAGAUUGAACCAAUUCGGAGACAAUUUAUCUCGGCGUAAUAACUUCUUAACAGAGCAGCCAUGACACCAGAAUGUUCCUUUGGGUCCUCACCGAUGUGCUCUGAUUGCGCUAGCAGCUAUUUUCCUAACACUGGCGACACAGGUUUCGUAACUUUAAAUAUAUGCAUCCGUGCAAAUAAUACUACUUUAUAUACUUUAAAGCUUUUAAAGUGCAGAGAUCUAGUUGCCGGUAGGAGUUUAAACGUUUCGCGAAGCGAUAUUUUACCUAGAAUUUUUUAAAUAAAAAGAUUAAACGAUAUUAAAAGUUUGUGCUAUUUGUACAUUAUUUUUGAAGUGCAAAAUUUCAUCAGCAAUCAACGAAAAAUCAUCAUCAGAAGUACUCUUCUGGCGUAGCGAAUUUAUAUAAACUUUCAGCGUAAUCAUGUUUUGAUGGAUUGAUUAAAACUUGAAAAGAA